rnacentral:lncRNA from 1 species
AAGUACAUAGAUUUGUAUUUAUGUUUAAAUUCGGAUACUGUAUUUGAUUUUUUUUAUUGAAUUAGGAAGAGCAUUCCACACUUUUGGUCCAUUGUACGAGAAACUAGACUUAUACAACUCUGUAUUUGGUUUUGGAAUAAUAAAAUUAUCUGAGGAUGAAAAUCUCGUAUUAUAUUUUUGGUUUGCAGAAGCUGAUACAAUAAGACUGGACAUAUAUUCUGGAGCUAAGCCAUGUUUUGUCUUAUACAUUAGUAAUGAUUUGUGAUAAAG